CCGCAAGCCUGGGGCUAGCGUCUCUGAGGGUGAUCGCGCUGCUUUCUAGUGGCCUGAAAGAGGAGAAAAGGGCAGAUACAAAUGGAAAAUUAGAUUAUUUGUGGUUUGGGCUUAACUUGGGAAGGUCAGCCAUUCUCUGUCAGCCUGUGGCGUCUGCCAGCGGGACUAAUACUAAGAACACAUGGAACAAAAGCCAGGGGAUAUACAUGUGCACACUUAGAAGUGGGCACCACUGGCACCAGAGCUGGGAGAUGAGCCUCUGUGCAGGCAGCAAGUCUUGCAAAACAGGACCAUUUCAUCCACAGCAUGCAGUCUCCUGUAGGGAGCCAGGGCUGCAAAACAAACGUUUAAA
rnacentral:lncRNA from 1 species